UCGCGUCAGGCGCCCCGCCGGGUCAGGCAUGCGGCGCUGUCGCCGCGGCCGUAGACGAGCCCCUGAGUUCGAUGCUCAGCCACGUGAGC
rnacentral:tRNA from 1 species